AAUUGCUGCACCCAUGGCAUAUGAAAAUUCCUAGGCUAGGGUUCCAAUUGGAGCUACAGCUGCCAGCCAGUACCAGAGAUGCAGCAACACAGGAUCUAAGCUGCAUCUAUGACCUACUCCACAGCUCAUGAAACACCAGAUCCUUAACCCACUGAGCAAGGCCAGGGAUUGAACCCACAUCCUCAGAGAUCCUAGUCAGUUCAUUAACUGCUGAGCCAUGACAGGAAAUCCCUUGUGAUAUUUUUUUAGUGACAACCAUACUAACACAUGUGAGGUGAUGCCACAUUGUAGUUUUCACUUACAUUUCUCUGAUGAUUUGCAACAGUGAGCAUCUUUUCUUGUGCUUGCUAUCCAUUUUCAUAUCUUUAGUCAAAUGUCCCUUCAGAUCCUCUCCUUAUUUUUUAAUUAGGCUGUUUUUUGUUUGUUUAUUAUUGCAUUGAGUUGUAUGAGCUAUUUGGUGUUUUUUGUUUUUUGUUUCUUUGUGUGAUUUUUGUUGCUUUUUAGGGCCACACCCAUGGCAUAUGGACGUUUCCAGGCUAGGGUCGCUACAGCUUCUGGCCUACACCACAGCCACAGCAACCUGGAAUCUGAGUAAUGACUGUUACCUACACAACAGCUCAUGGCAACCACACCCAGGCCCACUGAGUGAGGCCUGGGAUCAAACCCACAUCUUCAUGGAUAGCAAUUAAAUUUGUUUCCACUGUGCCACAAUGGAAACUCCCCAUUUACAAACAUUUUCACUCAUAUCCAGAGAAAACUUUCCAAGAGAAACUGGAAGCCCUUUCCAGUGAGAUCCCUGCACAGUUGUUCUAACAAUGUUCUCCUGUGAAUGGAGUUGCAAUGCAGGAAGUAUGAUGUAUAGAGUGAUUGGUAACAUCUAUCAAACAAGCUUGCUUUUGUACACAGUGGGUGAUGAUGAGCUAAGCUCAUAACAUUGGCAUGGAUAGCAUAGUCAAAUAUGUUUGUUCUCUGAGAAAAGUGGUCAAAUGUUUCUAGCCAGAGCAAAGCACUACUAGGCCUGGCAUUUUUUUGAGUGAGUGGAAUACAGGUUGGAAUUAGGAAGCACAGAGUCUGUUAUUUAAGACAUGUCAUAGUACUCAAAGCAGAGGAACAGAAUAGCCAAAUAAACUCUGUGGUUCCGCUGUGAUUAAGAGAGGGUAUGAGAAAAGCACUUUGCACCAAGGAAAUAUUUACUCUGGAAGGAGCGUCAUACCCAAGUCUCAAGUGGGCAGGAUUUCUUUCUUAGAUUUGAAUUGCUAGAGCAGGCAUAGUCUUGCUGCCUGCUGACCCCAAUACCAAUAACUGGCUGAUAUUUUGCAGCUACCACCUCUUUCACCCAUAUACAAUGAGUACUUUCUGAGAGAAACAAGAUGCCUUUUUGAGUUUCAUAAGUUCAUUUCUCUCAGGCACUACAGUGAUGCCAAUGAAAAAACAACACAACCACAAAUUUACAUUUUGUUCCAAAAUAUAUUUAUUUCCUCAGUGAAAUGUCACAUACAACUGGAAAAUUGUAUUCCUAGAUGGUACAUAAGAAAGAGGAGUUGGAAGGAAAGAAUUCCUUAAGGCUUGAGCAGGGUGGUACCCCUCUAGGCACCCAUGCUUCCUGACAAUCUUUGUGGAGCUUGGCAAUGCUCAUGUAGGCAUGGAAGUUGUCACCCACAUUCUUCUUGCCUUGAUCUGGCUGAUGGACAUAAUGAGCAUUGCUUGCCCUUCUCCUUGUUUCACCCAUUGCCCUGCAUCCCAGGGAAGAAGCCCAUAAAGGGAGCUUCAAGGGAAGGUUCUAUUUGUCCUGAGCCUGAGGCCCUGGUGAGCUUGGGGGGACUACACCACUAAGGGGGACUUCCAGGUUUCCCACAAGUUCCUAUUCUUCAGCAUCUACAUUCAAAAAGUCAUGCCUUUUCCAGACUGUCUGUCUGACAAACUCCAUCUAUGAGGCUUGGUGAGGGUCAAAGGGCUGCGUGAUGGUGCUACAGGUUCAGGGGUGUAUACAUCUCUUGACUUGAUGGUGCCUGCUGCCACCAGGCAUUUGCAUAAGCCUGUACAGGCUGCAGAAUUGCACCUUGAAAACAGGCUUCCCACUGUCAAAGACAACUUGGGCCCCAACCCCACAAUUGUAGGCUUUGGAGUUGCAUGGCUGAGCCAGAUAUUAUGGAGCAUUGUCAAUGUUGGGCUGAAGGGCACCCUGGAGACUGUGUGCUGCCAUGCUAGCAGGCAUGUUGUUCUCCUGUCAUACUCCUAAUUGCAACAGGGGCCAGAGAGCUGUGUGAAUAGUGGAGAGACCACCUCUGAGAAUGGGUCCCAUGGAGGAUUGACUCAGAACUAUUCCUGGAGAUUGAGGCUUCACUCUUCCCUGCAGACCUGGGUUGGGAAGGACCAUGAUAAACAACAAGAGCUGGCUCACACAACCCCUGCAGUGUGACCCAGGCACACACAAAAAAGAUGGAGGACAAAGGAGGAGCAGCUGCAGCAGAGGAUUGCAUGUCCUGGGUUGGAUUCAGGGAGGAAAAAGAUGAGACUCCCUGUGGAGAGAAGGGGAAAUUUGGUUCAAUGGAGAGGUCAGGGCUGGUCUGGCAUCGGGGUCUCCAGUAAGGACAUCCACAGACCCACUUGCUUUCUGCUCCAAGUGCUGAGAUCUUCAGUUCUGAAACCAUAUAUAGGGAAGAAAAAGGGAGACAGGCACAUCAGAAGUGCAACAAUCCAGUUUGAUUUGCCACUGUCCUUACACCUGCCCUCUGGAACUGUUAGGCAAAUCUCAGAGGGAUUUCAUCAAGACCUGUCACUUUGGCUCUUGAAGAUGUGGGACAAAGUCAGGGCAACAUUGAUCUCCCAGUUUUAGGGGGAUCCCUAAUUGAUUUGACCUGGCUCUAAGUUUAGGCCCCUUAAAAGCUGUCCAGCCCCUCCAUUUCCCUCUCCUCUUCUGGAAAUGGAUGCCUUAGAUCAGCCAUCUCAGCAAAUUUCUAACAGCAAUAGAAAGCCCCUACCCCCCAAAGCCUACCCCUAUCCAGCCCCAUCCUAUCCCAGGGCCUAAAACUUUCCUUGAGGGACAAGUCAUGUUUCACCCAACUGAGAACUUACCUGGAUUUGGGGUUCUAUAAAUACUGUCCAAUAAGCCAAUUACUCCCUGGCAGCAAUGCCUGAAUAUCAAUCCCUCUCAAAGUUUUGCACAAGGAUCCUUGUUUGAUGAAAAGAGAUGAAUGUCCUCUUUCCCCUGCCCUCCCUCUGGAAGCCUUCUAAAGUAGAUCACAUAAAGAGAGGUAAUUUUUUCUGAAUGCACUUUCAAGGCAGUCAGAUACCUUAUUCAAUUAUAUAUCUUUUUGUACAGAUGUACACACACAUGCACUCACAUACACAUAUUGUUUAUCAUCACCUAGUUAAGGAGAGUGGAGGGCCCUAGUUAGGGUCAGUGCAGGGAUUUAGUUAGGGGCAGUAUAGUGCUUUAGUUAAGGACAGUGCAGGGCCCAGUUUAACCAGAGUCUGGGGCCCUAUUUGCGGUGGGUGAGGUUUAGAGGUUUAGCUACCUAGAUUUGAAAUGACCAGUGAUUUUCAAAGGAGAGACUGAGGUACUGAGAAUAGUACAGACAGAGAAGAGGCCAUGCCAGGACACAGCCAGAUGUUGGACAUCUGAGGCCCAGGAGAGAGGCAUUAGUGAGUAGUGAAUUGGCACCCACCUUGAUCUUGGACUUUUGAGCCUCCAUAACAAUGAGAAAAUGAACAUAUUUGCCAGGUUGAAACCCUCCAGUCUGUGCUAUUUGCUUAUGACAACCCAACCCUAUUCAACCAAGAGACACUGGCGAAGACCAACAAUGUGGAGAUUUCUUUUUGUAGACAUUUCUGUCCAAGUCACACAGGCUCUUACCCUGAUGUUCACCCAACCAAAGAAGGUGAAAAUGUGUUUUUGCACACAAAAAAACUGCAGCCAGACAUAUAUGGAAUUUGUGUUCACUAUUGCCCAAAGGCAGAAGCAAGCAAGUGGUCUCUAUAGUACAAAAGUCAAAGAAAGUGUGUUGCAUCCAGACACUGAAAUGUGGUUGGGCACUUGAGAGAAAAGAGAACAUCUAGCUACAGCAAAAUAUGCUGGUCACCCUGUGCUUAGAGACCAAGUGAAAGAAGCCAGCAUGGAAUGGCUACUGACCCUAGGGUUCCAAUGAUAAGGACAGAAUGAAAAGGGUGAUGAGGUAGACACAAUCAGAACAUUGGUAUCUUCCAGGGAUGAAGGUGUGGGAAGGGAUGUACUGGCAGAUCUCAGAGCAGGUGGAGGGCAGGAAAACCAUUCCUGUGGUGUGAUACUGACUGGUGGAUGCAUGUCAUUCUUUAGGAGUGGCCAAAAUCCAUCAGAUAGACAAAAGACAAAAUGAUGGGUUGUAGAAAUGAUGGGCUUUGUGGGAUAAUGACACGUCAAUGUAUGUUCCUUUCCUGAAACCAAGGUAACUCUGUGGAGGUCCUAAAAGAAACCCACAAGGGUCUUCAAAUGAUGCAGUUGGUAAAAGGGGAAGCAUUCCAUUUAGGCCCACCUAUCUAUUUCCAGGAAGAGGUCUUGAGAAGAUGAUGUGCUGGAUCACCCUAGGCUGAGGAAGAAGGUCCCCCAGAGAAGUAAUUCUUCCAGUUUUCUGUAUCUCCCUCCCCAAGCCAGUACAUUGUGAAAGCACCUACAGAGGUCUUGUUACCUAUCCAGUGGGCUCUUUGGCAUGAUCAUGAACAUAUCUUUAAAUGGAGCUUUUGAGAUCUCUCUUCCUCUGGGGGGUCUAUAUUUCCAUUGUCUGAAAGUGGGAAUUUUGGGAAAUGCUGUAGAAAAGAGAAUUUGGGGAGUUUUGCCUGGGCCUCUGCCCCACACUGUUCACCCCUUCUAACACUUCCCCUUGUGUGUGGGAGGAAUACCACCCAAGUGGGCUGAGGCAUCAGUGACUCCCCAGGUGGGGGCAGCCAGGAUGUGGCAUCCCUAUUUUAAAGGGCUGGGCCUUUCCUUGGAUCAUAGAGAUCCCACCUCUGAGGAGACUGCCGCAGAGGAGAUUCUCCAUGGCUGACUCUGAAGAAGAAAGUAUGCAGUCAGUGCCAGAGCUUUCUGACCUAUGUACUCUAAAGCAGUAAGUCCUUGAGCUUUGUUUAAGGUUCUGAGUUUGUGCAAUUGGUUAUCCAUCAAUAGAAAAGGAAUUUCUCUGGGGGCCUCUUUCUUUGCAGUCUGUGGUUGUGGUGGGGGGACGGAGUAUAUGUCUGUGUUGUGUGUGUUUGUGUCUGUGAUUGCACAUGCCUUUGUGUGUAGAAAUUGAGUAGCCAAACUGACCCUUCCCUCUUCUGAACUUUGUAGGUCUUGUCCUCCUGAAGCCAAAAGACUAAAAAGGGACACCAAGGGCAAGAGACCAAGGAAACCCCAAGUGGAUGAAAAGGAGGUUCACAAGACACAAACCCUCUUGUCUUCCAUGAGCCAGGAGCAGCUGGACUGUUAUGAAGUGUAUCGCCAGUCAGCCUUUCCCAAGGCAACCAUGAAAUUUCUGAUGCAGAAUACGGCCAGCUCAGUGAUGUCCCAGAAUCCGGUCAUUGCCAUGUCCAAAGUGGCCAAGAUCUUCAUCAAUCAGGUGGUUGAAGAGGCCCUGGAUAUGUGAGAAGUGGGGGUAUACCCGCCUCCAACCCAAACAUAUGAAAGAGGUUGUUUACCUGUUUGGAGGUUACACUCCAGAGGGCAGAUGCCCAGCACCAAGAACAAAUAGAUUGUGUUCUUCUAGGUCAAGGCCACGAAGAUCCUAUUGCCCGGGAACCCAUCAUGCUGCCAGAGUCUGUAACCAACUUUCUGACUUACUCUAGAGGUACAGUCAUCCAGGCCCUGUGCUGUUUUCCAAGGUAUAGACAGGUAAGUCCAUGGAACAGAGUCCCAUGCCUGUAAAUAAACCAGCAAUGAACGAGUCCAUGUAUAACUGACAAAUGCAAAUCAACACAGUGGAGCAAAUGAAAGUCCUUUCCAGAACUUGUGCUGGAACAACCAAUGAUCCAUGUGAAGAAAGAGAGAAAGGAAGCAAAUAUGGCCAAUGAGCAUGCAUCAGGAGCUGCUGCUGCACUAGAAGACAUGGGGAAACGUCCCCAAAAGGCAAAGGGAUGA
rnacentral:lncRNA from 1 species